GACAGAGGGUGCAAACGUUGCUCGGAAUCACUGGGCGUAAAGGGCGCGUAGGCGGGAAUGUAAGUCGGGCGUGAAAUCCCUAGGCUCAACCUAGGAACUGCACUCGAACUGCGUUCUUGAGUAUCGGAGAGGAAGCGGAAUUCCUGGUGUAGAGGUGAAAUGCGUAGAGAUCAUGAGGAAGACCAGUGGCGAAGGCGGGUC
rnacentral:rRNA from 1 species